rnacentral:rRNA from 1 species
AUUGAACGCUGGCGGCAUGCUUUACACAUGCAAGUCGAACGGUAACAGGCCGCAAGGUGCUGACGAGUGGCGAACGGGUGAGUAAUGCAUCGGAACGUGCCCAGUCGUGGGGGAUAACGCAGCGAAAGCUGUGCUAAUACCGCAUACGAUCUAUGGAUGAAAGCGGGGGACCGUAAGGCCUCGCGCGAUUGGAGCGGCCGAUGUCAGAUUAGGUAGUUGGUGGGGGAAAGGCCUACCAAGCCGACGAACUGUAGCUGGUCUGAGAGGACGACCAGCCAGACUGGGACUGAGACACGGCCGAGACUCCUACGGGAGGCAGCAGUGGUGAAUGUUGGACAAUGGGCGCAAGCCUGAUCCAGCAAUGCCGCGUGCAGGAAGAAGGCCUUCGGGUUGUAAACUGCUUUUGUACGGAACGAAACGGUCUGGGUUAAUACCCUGGGCUAAUGACGGUACCGUAAGAAUAAGCACCGGCUAACUACGUGCCAGCAGCCGCAGUAAUAC